rnacentral:rRNA from 1 species
AAGUCGAGCGCACCCUUCGGGGCGAGCGGCGGACGGGUUAGUAACGCGUGGGAACAUACCCUUUUCUAUGGAAUAGCCUUUGGAAACGAAGAGUAAUACCAUAUACGCCCUUCGGGGGAAAGAUUUAUCGGAGAAGGAUUGGCCCGCGUAAGAUUAGAUAGUUGGUGGGGUAAUGGCCUACCAAGUCUACGAUCUUUAGCUGGUUUUAGAGGAUGAUCAGCAACACUGGGACUGAGACACGGCCCAGACUCCUACGGGAGGCAGCAGUGGGGAAUCUUAGACAAUGGGCGCAAGCCUGAUCUAGCCAUGCCGCGUGUGUGAUGAAGGCCUUAGGGUCGUAAAGCACUUUCGCCAGAGAUGAUAAUGACAGUAUCUGGUAAAGAAACCCCGGCUAACUCCGUGCCAGCAGCCGCGGUAAUACGGAGGGGGUUAGCGUUGUUCGGAAUUACUGGGCGUAAAGCGUACGUAGGCGGAUCAGAAAGUAGGGGGUGAAAUCCCGAGGCUCAACCUCGGAACUGCCUCCUAAACUCCUGGUCUUGAGUUCGAGAGAGGUGAGUGGAAUUCCAAGUGUAGAGGUGAAAUUCGUAGAUAUUUGGAGGAACACCAGUGGCGAAGGCGGCU